rnacentral:rRNA from 1 species
GACGAACGCUGGCGGCGUGCUUAACACAUGCAAGUCGAACGGAAAGGCCCUGCUUGCAGGGUACUCGAGUGGCGAACGGGUGAGUAACACGUGGGUGAUCUGCCCUGCACUUCGGGAUAAGCCUGGGAAACUGGGUCUAAUACCGGAUAGGAGCCAUUUUUAGUCUGAUGGUUGGAAAGGUUUUUCGGUUGGGGAUGAGCUCGCGGCCUAUCAGCUAGUUGGUGGGGUAAUGGCUUACAAAGGCGGCGUCGGGUAGCCGGCCGGGGAGGGGGACGGCCCAAAUGGGGCUGGAAAACGGGCCAGACCCCCACGGGAGGCAAGCGGGGGGAAUAUUUGCAAAUGGGGGGAAGCCUGAUGCAGGGACGGCGGGGGGGGGGUGACGGGCUUCGGGUUGUAAACUCCCUUUGGUAGGGACGAAACUGUUUGUGACGGUACCUAGAUAAGAAGCACCGGCUAACUACGUG